GAUGAACGCUGGCGGCGUGCCUAAUACAUGCAAGUCAAGCGAACGGACGAGAAGCUUGCUUCUCUGAUGUUAGCGGCGGACGGGUGAGUAACACGUGGAUAACCUACCUAUAAGACUGGGAUAACUUCGGGAAACCGGAGCUAAUACCGGAUAAUAUUUUGAACCGCAUGGUUCAAAAGUGAAAGACGGUCUUGCUGUCACUUAUAGAUGGAUCCGCGCUGCAUUAGCUAGUUGGUAAGGUAACGGCUUACCAAGGCAACGAUGCAUAGCCGACCUGAGAGGGUGAUCGGCCACACUGGAACUGAGACACGGUCCAGACUCCUACGGGAGGCAGCAGUAGGGAAUCUUCCGCAAUGGGCGAAAGCCUGACGGAGCAACGCCGCGUGAGUGAUGAAGGUCUUCGGAUCGUAAAACUCUGUUAUUAGGGAAGUACAUAUGUGUAAGUAACUGUGCACAUCUUGACGGUACCUAAUCAGAAAGCCACGGCUAACUACGUG
rnacentral:rRNA from 1 species